AGUGAACGCUGGCGGUAGGCCUAACACAUGCAAGUCGAACGGCAGCACAGUAAGAGCUUGCUCUUACGGGUGGCGAGUGGCGGACGGUUGAGGAAUACAUCGGAAUCUACUUUUUCGUGGGGGAUAACGUAGGGAAACUUACGCUAAUACCGCAUACGACCUACGUGUGAAAGCAGGGGAUCUUCGGACCUUUCGCGAUUGAAUGAGCCGAUGUCGGAUUAGCUAGUUGGCGGGGUAAAGGCCCACCAAGGCGACGAUCCGUAGCUGGUCUAAGAGGAUGAUCAGCUACACGGGAACUGAGACACGGUCCAGACUCCUACGGGAGGCAGCAGUGGGGAAUAUUGGACGAUGGGGGCAAGCCGGAUCCAGGCAUACCGCGUGGGUGAAGAAGGACUUAGGGUCGUAAAGCCCUUUUGUUGGGAAAGAAAAGCAGCAGGUUAAUACCCCGCUGUUAUGACGGUACCCAAAGAAUAAGCACCGGCUAACUUCGUG
rnacentral:rRNA from 1 species